rnacentral:rRNA from 1 species
AAUGGUCGCAAGACUGAACCAGCCAUGCCGCGUGCAGGAAGACGGUCCUAUGGAUUGUAAACUGCUUUUAUACAGGAAGAAACCCUCCCACGUGUGGGAGCUUGACGGUACUGUAGGAAUAAGGAUCGGCUAACUCCGUGCCAGCAGCCGCGGUAAUACGGAGGAUCCAAGCGUUAUCCGGAAUCAUUGGGUUUAAAGGGUCCGUAGGCGGUCUUAUAAGUCAGUGGUGAAAGCCCAUCGCUCAACGAUGGAACUGCCAUUGAUACUGUAAGACUUGAAUGCUUAGGAAGUAACUAGAAUAUGUAGUGUAGCGGUGAAAUGCUUAGAUAUUACAUGGAAUACCAAUUGCGAAGGCAGGUUACUACUAAGUGAUUGACGCUGAUGGACGAAAGCGUGGGGAGCGAA